ACCAAUCAGCUUGGUAAUCAAACAUCAUCAGAGAUCCAUCUGACUAUAGGAGGUGAUCAACUGGUUGGUGCUCAAGUCAUCGUGAAGGUCCUGGGAAUCAUUCUGCUCGUCACUACUUUGCUCAUCUUUGAGUGCUUUUCCCUCCCCAGCGUGUAAAGUCUGCUCGUGUCUCUGCUGCUUUUCAUUGAAGAAGAAGACAUCUAU